AUACGUAGGUGGCAAGCGUUGUCCGGAUUUACUGGGCGUAAAGGGUGCGUAGGUGGAUAUUUAAGUCAGAUGUGAAACCCCUGGGCUCAACCCAGGACCUGCAUUUGAAACUGGAUGUCUAGAGUGCGGGAGAGGUAAGUGGAAUUCCUAGUGUAGCGGUGAAAUGCGUAGAGAUUAGGAAGAACACCAGUGGCGAAGGCGACUUACUGGACCGUAACUGACACUGAGGCACGAAAGCGUGGGUAGCAAACAGGAUUAGAUACCCUGGUAGUCCACGCCGUAAACGAUGAGUACUAGGUGUAGGGGGUAUCGACUCCCCCUGUGCCGCAGUUAACACAAUAAGUACUCCGCCUGGGAAGUACGAUCGCAAGAUUAAA
rnacentral:rRNA from 1 species